UAUUCAGUCUAUUUCGGGAUCUCGACCCGUAAACACCUCAAAAUUCUCUGUAUUAUUUCGGCUAUUUAUUCAAAAUUAAAUUAAUUUUCGGCUAGAAUUAAGUAAAAAGUGAAUUUUAGUUUUAAGCAUAAAGUGAAAAAUAUUUCUCUUAUUUAUUUAUAAGACCAUUUAAAUUUCGUUCCCUUUUCGUUAUAAAAAAAAAAACUGCUAAACUAAAAAGGAUUUGGUCCAUAUAACUCACCUCAAACCAAGCAUACACCUUCGAUUAGUUUCUUAGUUUGUUUUUAUCAUCCAAGAUCCACGCUCGGCCAGAAGUUUCAAUCAAGCACACCCAUAUGAUCCAGACUCUGAUACAGAUUCAAGGCGAACACCAAUGGAGAGAUAACUUACUCUGAAGACUCUCUUUUAGACUUUUCCUUCACAUGCCACUACCACAUCGCACAGCACCACUACCACAUCGCACAUUACCACACCUAUGUAACUGCUUCAAACUAAACUUCGCUAUCUAGAGCUCACACUCAAAACCAUUGAACGCACUCGCCCAUACGUUUGUCCAAAGAAACCACCUUGUACUACCCGGCCACUGAGCUUAAAAUUUUUGGUGGCCGAUCAAUUUAUUUUCAAGCUCAACACUGAAGACACAUUCGUUAUGCUCAUAUUCCAAAAUUCGUUACCGUUGCCUAGCGCUGAUUUAUCCCACACUCACCCACUGAUAAUUGGCAUACAGAUAAACGCAAUCACAUAUCCCACCAAAAAAACGCAUAUAAUUUUGUAGCUGCCAUAGCUGAUAUGACGAAAAUCUACACUACAAUGAAGACUUACGGAAUUCGAUAAAAUAGAUAAGUUGAAAAAUAAAAUGGUUACAAAAAUACA